rnacentral:rRNA from 1 species
AUUUGGUCGUAGACCCGAAACCAGGUGAUCUACCCUUGGUCAGGUUGAAGUUCAGGUAACACUGAAUGGAGGACCGAACCGACUUACGUUGAAAAGUGAGCGGAUGAACUGAGGGUAGCGGAGAAAUUCCAAUCGAACCUGGAGAUAGCUGGUUCUCUCCGAAAUAGCUUUAGGGCUAGCCUCAAGUGAUGAUUAUUGGAGGUAGAGCACUGUUUGGACGAGGGGCCCCUCUCGGGUUACCGAAUUCAGACAAACUCCGAAUGCCAAUUAAUUUAACUUGGGAGUCAGAACAUGGGUGAUAAGGUCCGUGUUCGAAAGGGAAACAGCCCAGACCACCAGCUAAGGUCCCAAAAUAUA